GAUGAACGCUGGCGGCGUGCUUAACACAUGCAAGUCGAACGAAGCACUUUGAUUUCUUCGGAUUGAUGAGUGACUGAGUGGCGGACGGGUGAGUAACGCGUGGGUAACCUGCCUCACACAGGGGGAUAACAGUUAGAAAUGACUGCUAAUACCGCAUAAGACCACAGUACCGCAUGGUACAGUGAUAAAAACUCCGGUGGUGUGAGAUGGACCCGCGUCUGAUUAGCUAGUUGGUGAGGUAACGGCCCACCAAGGCGACGAUCAGUAGCCGACCUGAGAGGGUGACCGGCCACAUUGGGACUGAGACACGGCCCAAACUCCUACGGGAGGCAGCAGUGGGGAAUAUUGCACAAUGGGCGAAAGCCUGACCCAGCGACGCCGCGUGAGGGAAGAAGGUCUUCGGAUUGUAAACCUCUGUUGACAGGGACGAAGCAUGACGGUACCUGUCGAGGAAGCCACGGCUAACUACGUGCCAGCCGCCGCAGUAACAC
rnacentral:rRNA from 1 species